CAUGGCAGCGAUGGCUGUGAUAUUUUUGUUAUGGCAGCCUGAACAGACUGAGACAGCUUCGCCUGGAGAGGCAUUACGCUAAGGAGAUGUCACACCAGAAACAGGCUUGAGAAGCACGUUCUUAGCAGAGUGGCAUGUUGUAGGCACAGCUCUACCCAGGCGGGACCCCUGUCCUCUCUGGGUCUCAGAAUCCUCCUCUGGGAACUGAGGGGACCUAAAGAUUUCAGGGGUUUUCCUGGUCUGUGGUCAUCCAUCCAGGGCAGAAGUAUGUGUCCUGGUAUCACCAUCACUGGCUUUGGUUUUAAAUCCAUUUGGGUUCAAACCGUGGCUCUGUCAGUUACCAGCUCUGUGACCUGAACUUGACAAGACCGAAGGCAGGGGGCACAGGCCCCCCAGCAAGUCACAAGCACAGAAUCAGGAGCAUGUGAGCUGGGUCUUGAGCACCUCCACGGUGAGCAUUUUGCAACCUCCCUUCCCUUUCUGUUGAGACGGCUCUGGCCUUGACUGGUGUCUGACUUCUUCUUGCACUGGAGCUGCCCGCAGGGGCUGGGUCCAUUCUUGACCCCCAGUCCAUAGUUUGGGGGUCCUGAGACCCUGACCAGCCACAGAAAACUCCCAUCCCCAGAGUCUAGGCUUCUUCUCGAGUCCUCAUUCACUGGGGCCCGGGGGGGUGGGGCGUGCCUUUCAGCCUGGGUGAGCCUCCCUGGCAGAGUAAAGCCUCCUGCUGCCCACACAUGCUGACCUCCCCUGAGGCACCUUAGUGCCUGUGUCCAGCUUCCACAGAUGGCGCCACUCUUGCUAACUCCUUUGAGACAAGACAAGUGGCCCUGGCCUGCCUGCUGAUGGCACCCCUUGCGAUGCCACCUCGGGGACAAAUGCCCUACCCUCCCAGCCUUCUUUUUUUUUUUUUUUUUUUGUCUUUUCUAGGGCCCCUCCCGCAGCAUAUGGAGGUUCCCAGGCUAGGGGUCAAACUGGAACUGCAGCUGCCAGCCUAUACCAUAACCACGGCAAUGUGGGAUCCGAGCCAUAUCUGAGACCUACACUGCAGCCUGCGUCAAUGCCAGAUCUUUAACCUGCUGAGCGAGUCCAGGGCUUUCUCAUGGAGUGAUGCGGGGGUUGGGACUGACUUUUCCCUGAGGUCCUGUGGGGCUCUGGGGGUAUGUCCAGGCGGGCAGGUAGAACACAUCACCUGACCUGGGAUGUCACUCCUCGUGUCCUCCGAGGUCCCUUUGGUUUUUGACACAGCUCACCACACAGCUCCUGGGACAAAGAUAGGAGGUGGGCCAAAGCUGACGUUCCUUGGGGCGAGGCUGCCAGGAGCGAGAUGCAGGGAAGGUGGCAGGAACUGACCCUGAAAACUGGUCAGCGUGUGGUUAUUGCUGAUGGAUAAGGCAACACUACCAGUGACCUGCCCCAAAUGGGGCCCUCAGCCACCUGGGGAAAGGCCAGGCCCAGCCUCAGUCCCAACCCCACCGCCCUUGCAGGAAGCCUGGCUGGAGUCCCCUCAGACUGGGGACUGUUUGCCAGGUGGAGGUGGGGCUAGGAAACCUCCAAGGGCUGCUGAAGCUUCCUGGGCCCGGAAACAUUUGGAGGCAUCCUUGGCCCUUGGCCUGAGGUAGCAAAGGAGGCAGCUGUCCAGGACCUGGAGGAGGAGGGGCCACCGGGGCGGGGGUGGCUUUGGGUUGAGGAUGGAGGGAGCUGGGGGAUUAACACUCCACACUCCACCUUCUGUCUCCUCCUGUCCUUCAGUCUCCUUCUACUGCCUUGGCUGCACCCGACAGGGAGCCAGAGAGCCAGGGAGCCUCUUGUUACAGCUAAGGAAGCCCACCUCUCAGAUACAGAGCAGAGCGGAGGGAGUGGGGGAGGAGAGACUGUCCUGGAAGCAGUGAGCCUCCAACUCGCUUCUGGGUCAAGGUCGCCUUGCUCUGUUACAUGCCUGUAAGCACAGAGGGCUCACCACUCUCAAGGGCAAGCCAGGGGCAGUUCUAACUGGUUUCUCUGAAGCUGAGCUGGUUUGACUCAGAAAUCAGUGUGGGCUCAUGACAUUAGACCCUUUAAUUCCUGGUUCUGCUGCUUGCUGGAUGUGUAACCUUAAGCAGAUACUGUAGGUGAGUGUCAGGGUCCUCGGGGACAGCGACAUUACAACCAAGGCUCCUGACUAAGAUUAAAUAUGAUGGCGGUUUGCCCCCUCCCAUCCCCUGUUCCUAAUGGGUUUCUAAAUAUAUUCUUAUAACUCCCCCUCCAUCCCUGUCCGGUAUCCUUAUUAGCAUCCUUAUGUCAAAUGAGGAUGCUCGGGGAGGGUCAAGGACUUACCUGACAUCCCAUCCCAGCUAAUAAGUGGUGGCACCCAAAGUGGUGCCAAGCCUUAACCACUGCACCAGCCUCUCUCUGGGACAAACGACGCCUCCUUCAUGGAGAGCUGGAGAUAACGGAAGCUCAGUAAACGGCGGUUUAUGGUCUUACAAUAACACUUUGUAGAUGGUUAUGAAUGAGUAACUUCUGGGUACCACCUAUGCUCCAGGCACCGUAUGAAACGCUUUCUUUGAAGUGACCACAGUGGUUGGCAUUUUCAACUUCAGAGAUGGGGAAACUGCUUUGUCUCAACCCUACUCUUGCAGUCACUUUAAUUUUAGCAGAUGGCUUUGCAAAAAUGGGGAAAAAUAAACCCAGCCUUGCUACUGUCUUGUCACGGGAUUGUUAGGUAUGGCAUAUUUAGUUGGGGGGGGGAAGAUGGGAAAGUUUCCAGAAAAAAAAUGCUAUGUUCUUCCUCCAAGGGGAAAAAAAAAAUACUUGGAAUAAAAGAAACCAGCUACCUUUCAAUUUUUCAACUUUUUUUUUUUUUUUUUCCUAAAAUGCUGUUAUCUUUGACGAGGAGUUAAAGCUUUAGGACCUGCUGGUGACAGAGGGAGGCCAGUGAAGCCAAACACGGGCCAGAUGGAAUGGGCAAAGUGUCCUAUCUGUUCCUUUAAUAACUCCUAGACCAGGGCGACCUGUCACCGUGAGCAAAGGGGAGGGAGAAAAAUGAGCCAAUUCGUUUCUAAAUGGCUCUGUAACUCCAGGGUGUUAUCGAGCAGAGACAAAGGACACCCCAUAAUUCUCCGGAAGGGAAUCAGGAUCUCCGGGAAGCCAGGCACAGACGCUGCCCAUCCCGCCGCAGCCCCCCAACACCCUGGAAUCCGGGCACCAUAAAUACACAGAGAGAUCGAUCUCCUGGCGUCGCUGAUUUCCCCUUGCCUUUAUUGAUCGCCUUCCUAGAUGAGUGAAGGCUUUUUGACCAGAACUAAGCUCUGUGUAUCUUUCUUGGAAGUCUUUGCCAUGCUGAGAGCUCGGCAGAGAGAGAAAGUGGGGUCUCUGUUCCCUUCUCAGAUUGCGGGGCAGCAGCUGUGUCCUGGGGAGGGGAAUUGAGGCUUGACUGUCCAUGGGCCCCUCUGUUUUCCAGCAGGUGUCAAGUUUGGGAGUUUUCCGAGAGGAGCAGAAAGUGGCUUUAGCGGAUAGCAUCUAUAGAUGUGUUUUAUGUUCAUAAAAUCACCCUGGAGUUCUUGUUGUGGCUCAGGGGUUAAGAAGCAGACUAGCAUCCAUGAGGAUGCAGGUUCAAUCCCUGGCCUCGCUCGGUGGGUUAAUGAUCUGGUGUUGCCAUGAGCUGUGGUGUACGUAGGUCACAGACCUGGCUCAGAUCUGGCGUUGCUGUGGUUGUGGCAUAGGCUGGCAGUUGCAGCUCCAAUUCAACCCCUAACCCCCUAGCAGUUGUGGCGCUAAUAAGAAAAAAAAAAAAUUGGAGUUCCCAUUGUGGCGCAGUGGAAACGAAUCCGACUAGGAACCAUGAGGUUGCGGGUUCGAUCCCUGGCCUCGCUCAGUGCGUUGAGGACCUGGCAUUGCUGUGAGCUGUGGUAUAGGUCACAGAUGCAGCUCAGAUCUGGUGUUGCUGUGGCUGUGGUGUAGGCUGGCAGCUGCAGCUCCGAUUGGACCCCUAGCCUGGGAACCUCCAUAAGCCACUGGUGCGGCCCUGAAAAGAAAAAAAAAAGAAACAAAAAAAA
rnacentral:lncRNA from 1 species